AGAGUUUGAUCCUGGCUCAGGACGAACGCUGGCGGCGCGCCUAACACAUGCAAGUCGAACGGAGCAUUGAGAGCUUGCUUUUAAUGCUUAGUGGCGAACGGGUGAGUAACGCGUGAGUAACCUGCCCUGGAGUGGGGGACAACAGUUGGAAACGACUGCUAAUACCGCAUAAGCCCACGGAUCCGCAUGGAUCUGCGGGAAAAGGAUUUAUUCGCUUCAGGAUGGACUCGCGUCCAAUUAGCUAGUUGGUGAGGUAACGGCCCACCAAGGCGACGAUUGGUAGCCGGACUGAGAGGUUGAACGGCCACAUUGGGACUGAGACACGGCCCAGACUCCUACGGGAGGCAGCAGUGGGGGAUAUUGCACAAUGGGGGAAACCCUGAUGCAGCGACGCCGCGUGGAGGAAGAAGGUUUUCGGAUUGUAAACUCCUGUCGUUAGGGACGAUAAUGACGGUACCUAACAAGAAAGCACCGGCUAACUACGUGCCAGCAGCCGCGGUAAAACGUAGGGUGCAAGCGUUGUCCGGAAUUACUGGGUGUAAAGGGAGCGCAGGCGGACCGGCAAGUUGGAAGUGAAAACUAUGGGCUCAACCCAUAAAUUGCUUUCAAAACUGCUGGCCUUGAGUAGUGCAGAGGUAGGUGGAAUUCCCGGUGUAGCGGUGGAAUGCGUAGAUAUCGGGAGGAACACCAGUGGCGAAGGCGACCUACUGGGCACCAACUGACGCUGAGGCUCGAAAGCAUGGGUAGCAAACAGGAUUAGAUACCCUGGUAGUCCAUGCCGUAAACGAUGAUUACUAGGUGUUGGAGGAUUGACCCCUUCAGUGCCGCAGUUAACACAAUAAGUAAUCCACCUGGGGAGUACGACCGCAAGGUUGAAACUCAAAGGAAUUGACGGGGGCCCG
rnacentral:rRNA from 1 species